rnacentral:misc_RNA from 1 species
UAAUAAAGUGUUUUAUGGCACUUUUUAAAAAUCCAUAUCCACCUUGUGUGCAAUGUUAGAUCUCGUCAAUCUUGGCGAGGUUUUUAUACAUCAACUCAUUCUUUAACUCUUUGUCUGAAAAAUAUUAUGAAUAAACAAUUCAAAAUA